GGAACACCCCGGUUUUCCGGGAAAUUUAUUGGGUUUAAGGGUCCGUAGGCGGAUCCGUAAGUCAGUGGUGAAAUCUCAUAGCUUAACUAUGAAACUGCCAUUGAUACUGCGGGUCUUGAGUAAGGUAGAAGUAGCUGGAAUAAGUAGUGUAGCGGUGAAAUGCAUAGAUAUUACUUAGAACACCAAUUGCGAAGGCAGGUUACUAUGUCUUAACUGACGCUGAUGGACGAAAGCGUGGGGAGCGAACAGGAUUAGAUACCCUGGUAGUCCACGCCGUAAACGAUGCUAACUCGUUUUUGGUUUUUCGGAAUCAGAGACUAAGCGAAAGUGAUAAGUUAGCCACCUGGGGAGUACGAACGCAAGUUUGAAACUCAAAGGAAUUGACGGGGGCCCGCACAAGCGGUGGAUUAUGUGGUUUAAUUCGAUGAUACGCGAGGAACCUUACCAAGACUUAAAUGGGAAUUGACAGAUUUAGAAAUAGAUCCUCCUUCGGGC
rnacentral:rRNA from 1 species